CCGCGCCGAGGUGCGGCAGAGCUUGGGGAUGGUGGCCCGCACGCCCUCGCCCCGUCUGCUGCAGACCAGCCUGGAGCUGGAGGGUCGCUGAGCGCCGCGAGGACCGUGGGCGGGGCGCAAGGCCUCCGCGGGGGGAGGGGGGGCUCCCGCGUUGGUCCCCAGGAAACCCCGCCUCGCCUGCAGGCAGCGCGGCACCCUCGGCCGGGUAUGAAAUGCCCGCUCCGCGUCUCCCGGCCAAUCCCAAGUCGUCCUUCAAGACGUCCCUGCUCCGGAAAGCUGUCGCCGUAAAACUGCCCCGCCCCGUCCCUCCCGGCAUGGCCAUCCCCUUGGCGCCGGCAAGUGGGAGCGAUGCGGACCAGGGCCGCUCCCCAGUCUCGAGCGGCACUCCCCCUCCUCCAGCCCGCCCCUGCCCGGGAAGAUGCCUGCGAGAAACCAGAAGUGAUUCACGCUACGCCACGUGAUGGCCCCGCAUCAGCGACCUGAAAGCGGAUGCUGAAUUUCGGCCAAUGCUGGUCCGUGUGCUUUACAUGCGUUACCUCAUUUUAUCCCCAAAACAACCCUGUGGGAAAAUGGGGAUGAUGAUUCCUACUUAAAACAGUUGCUGAGAAGAUGACAUGAGAAAAUAUUGUCAAAGAUUUUAACACAGUGGAAACCAUCACAAAUGAUCUCAAAGCAUCUGAACAUCAUAUAUAGUUUUUUUUCUGAUUAUAAGUUAUUUGGAAAAUAUAGAAAAAUAUAAAGAAGGAAAUAAAAAUAGAUUAGAAUAUCACUGUUCAGAAAUAAACACUGUUAACAAUUUGUUGUAUUGCUUUCCAGUCUUUACACUAUAUGUUGUUGUUUUAUAUGCAUUAUGGUUGAGGCAACUGUACUGUAAUGGUUAAACCUGUGGGCUGUGGAAUCCUGGUCCUAGCAUCUACUUUAUGUGUACUAUCUCAUUUACCCCUGAAGACAACCAUUUAAGGCAGGUGCUGUUGCUACUCUCAGCUUCACGGAUGAGGAAGCUAAAGCAGCUAAAGUUUGGGUGAUUUUCCCCAAGUUUCUAACUGGAAAAUUGCAGAUAGUGGACUUGAACUCAGGUCUGAGUGACUCUACUGCCUCUGGUACUCUGCCCUCACACUAGCUUGUUGGUCACCUAAGCACUACAUCAUCUGAAGUCAAUAAAGCGGGAAAUGUUGUCAUACCCAUUUUACAGAUGAAGAAAUUGAGGUACAAAGAAGGUUAACAGACUUACCCAAGAUUAUAGAGUCAGGAUGAAGCCCCUGAGAAUGGAUUCCCCAGGGGCUUUGCAAAUGAAGAUAUCUUUACCAAACCACAGCUAACAUAUUUGUCACUGUCCUUGAAUGGUUCUGUUUCAUCUGUUUCUUAGCUCUUCAACAUGACCAGACUGCCUCUUCCCUCCCGCCUCCCUCUGCCUCCCCCAUGGAGUAGCAAGGCUCCAGGAACAGGCAAAAGAGAACUCAGAUGGGCUACUCCCGCUCUCCUUCCUCCUGCCCUGGCCCUCAUAGUUUGGCAAGGUCAGGCUUCCUGCUGGCCUGAGAUUGCAGCUGCAAGAGGGCAGUGAGGCCAGGAAGGGCUCCCCUGCAGGUCACUUGGCCCUAGGAGAAAGGGUGGGCUCUGCUAGCUGUAUGCAGUUGAGAAAAGAGCAGAAACUCUGAAGACACUGAGGUCUUGGUUACCUAGAGGUGUUUUCUCCUCUGGAAGAGGAGACCACCCAUCCCCACCCACUGCAGUUUGAUGUGAGGGUUACAGAGAGGACCCUCCUACUUCCUCUUCCUCCCCAGGGCUGGAUGUGUUCACCGCCUCCCUGGGCCUCUCUAGUCCGUUAGGGACAGUUCUUGCUUUGAAAGAGUGGUCCUUUGUGUAAUUUCCACUCAUUGCUUCCCUCUGCAAUAUCAUAACCCUUCCAGACAGGCACUUCAAAUAUAUUUGCCUGACUCUUCAAGCUACGUUUCCUCCUGUCCUUCGCCCUCCCUCCCACAUCUGUUUUCUAGGCCCUUCACUGUAAUAGAGUCACACAGCCCGGGUUCAAAUCCUCGUGCCAUGACUUACUAGCGGUAUGAGAUUGGGCAAAUUACUGAACCCCAGAGUCUCAGUUUCCAGGUUAUAAAAUGGGCCUAAUAAUGGGAAAUCACUUCAUAAUGUUAGCAUGAGAGCUAUCUCAACAUACUGUAAGCAGUGAUGAGUAAUAUCAUCUUAGAAAUCUUUGCUCAAAGCAAAAGGUUGUACCUCCUUAUUGUUUGAUUUGCAUUUCUUCGAUUGCUAAUGAGAUUGAACAUUUUUUCAGUUAUUAGUCAUUUAUAUUUCCUCUUUUAGUGAGUUGUCUAUUUUCUGAAUUGUCUAUUUUCUAUGUCCAUUUUCUUUGAAACCUUAACUUAUUCACUUAUAUUAACCCUUUCUAUGUUAAUAAUAACACUUUGUCUUUUAUAUU